UCGGGGAUCGUCUAAUGGUAGGACAACGGGUUUUGGUCCCGUCAAUCGGGGUUCGACUCCCUGUCCCCGAGCCA
rnacentral:tRNA from 2 species